CCUUCACUGGAAUGUACCUCUCAUGGAGAAAAUGCAUCAAGUUGCAGGCUGAGCUGAGCUGAGGAAGCCGAACUCUACCCUCUGAUACCUGGAUGUGUGACCCUUGAACUUAGGCAACAUAGACAGGUCAAGAGGGCGGGCGAUGCUUUUCUGCCUGCUAUGGCAACAGUAUGGCAAACAAUAGGCCCUCAGUAAAGGGAGCGGGGCGGGGGCCGACAGGAUAGCUUACUGGGUAAAGGUGCUUAUCGCAGGACAACCUGAGUUUGAUCCUUAUGGAGAAGAGAACCAAGCCCCACACAUUGUCCUCUGACCUCCACACGUGUGCCGUGACAUGUGCGUCUCACAACUAAGUAAAUAAAUGAAGAGAUGAA
rnacentral:lncRNA from 1 species